rnacentral:rRNA from 1 species
ACAGCCAUACCACAUUGAAAACACCGGUUCUCGUCCGAUCACCGAAGUUAAGCAAUGUAGGGCCCGGUCAGUACUUGGGAGGGUGACCACCUGGGAACACCGGGUGCUGUAGGCU